AACGAACGCUGGCGGCAUGCCUAACACAUGCGAGUCGAACGGGGCCUCCGGGUCUAGUUGCGCUCGGGGGCGUGCCGCGGGGGAAGCGGCCCGUAGGUACCGUAUCACUCCCCUUGGGGGGUGCUAAGACCGGGUAAUGUCAUCGCACCAAAGAUGUACCGCGUUUGGAUGGGCCCGCGUUGGUUUAGCCAGUGGGUAGGGUAAAAGCCUACCAAGGCGUCGAUCCUUAGCUGGUAUGAGAGGAGGAUCCGCCACACUGGGACUCAGACACGGCCCAGAAUACUACGGGAGGCAGCAGUGGGGAAUAUUGGACAAUGGAGGGAGGGCUGAUGCAGCCAUGCCGGGUGAGUGAUGAAGGGGGUAGGGAUGUAAAGCUCUUUUACCCGGGACGAUAAUGACGGUACCGGGAGAAUAAGCACCGGCUAACUACGUG
rnacentral:rRNA from 1 species